UACGGGGGGAGCAAGCGUUGUUCGGAUUCAUUGGGCGUAAAGGGCGCGUAGGUGGCCUUGUAAGUCCGACGUGAAAUGUACCGGUUCAACCGGCACUGUGUCGGAAACUGCCUGGCUUGAGGUCGAGGGAGGAAAGUGGAAUUCCUGGUGUAGCGGUGAAAUGCGUAGAUAUCAGGAGGAACACCCGUGGCGAAGGCGGCUUUCUAUCUCGAUUCUGACACUGAGGCGCGAAAGCUAGGGGAGCAAACGGG
rnacentral:rRNA from 1 species